rnacentral:tRNA from 1 species
GUUUUUAUAGUUUAACUAAAAACAUUGGUUUUGUAAAUCAAAAUUAAGAAUUAUCUUUAAAAACU